UGCAGGCCUGGUGGUAGGUCAUGUGGGGUGAUGAGGGUUGCAUGCCUGGUGGUAGGUCAUGUGGGGUGAUGAGGGUUGCAUGCCUGGUGGGAGGUCAUGUGGGGUGAUGAGGGUUGCAUGCCUGGUGGGAGGUCAUGUGGGGUGAUGAGGGUUGCAUGCCUGGUGGUAGGUCAGGUGGGGUGAUGAGGGUUGCAUGCCUGGUGGGAGGUCAUGUGGGGUGAUGAGGGUUGCAUGCCUGGUGGGAGGUCAUGUGGGGUGAUGAGGGUUGCAUGCCUGGUGGGAGGUCAUGUGGGGUGAUGAGGGUUGCA
ensembl:lncRNA